AUGGAUCUAAAUUCAAGUUAUUUGCUCAAGAUUGAAUUGUUUGGCAAUAAAAAAGCUUGAAAGGACAUAAGAUGUUUUUGUUUUGAGAAGGUCAUUGAUUAUGACUUGACAAAUUAUAAGGAUUUGGUUGAAUCAAUUGUAGAGAAGUACCCAUCGUGUUAUUUGGAAGUUGCACAUGUGCAGUAUUACGAUGAUGCUCUAAAAACAUGUCCAGAAGUACAGUCCAACCAGGAUUUGAUGCUUAUGUUUUAGAAACACACACAGACAAUGGUGCUCUGUAUGAUCAUUGCAUAUUAUGAUCCCUCUGAACCAUAUGAGCCUAUCACCAAGUGGCAUUGUGAUGUGCAUAGCAAACCUAACAACAAUAUAGAACAAGAGGAUGAUACUUACCUUCGCAACCCAAGACUUGCAAAUGUGCAUGUUGGUGUUGAUGAGGAAAAUGUGUAUGACGUGGAUGAACCUAUGCCCUUAGAUGUGGUUCUUUGUCCUAAUAAAGAAAAGGACAAAGACUAUAUUUUUGAGGAUGAUAGCGAGGCUGGGAGUGAAGUAGAGGAGGCUGAAGUAGAGGAGUAUGAGGAGUUGCAUGAGGCAGAGCAUACUCCACAUGUAGAGCAUGACAAAUUAGACCCUCCAAUAACAAAAGUAUUUACAUAUCCCAGAAUGAAAGAGUUCAAGUUGGCACUUCCUCAGCAUGCAAUCAAACAUGAACUUGAGUAUGACACCGAGUAUAGUACACCUCAUCGGUUUAGGGGCUAUUGUUCAAGAUGGGAUGCAGAUAAUUGUCCAUGGAGGAUACAUGCUUCUAUGACGGAGCAUAAGUGUACGUAA
rnacentral:rRNA from 1 species